rnacentral:tRNA from 1 species
GCCCGGAUGGUGAAAUUGGUAGACACGCUAGGUUCAGGGUCUAGUGGGAGUACUCCCAUGCAGGUUCGAGUCCUGUUCCGGGCA